UUCCACUCGCCUGAGCUGUCUCUGAAGGUGAGGAGGAGAAAUGGCCCAUUGCUGCAGGGCACAUGGAUUUCAGAAGGCAGCCGCCCUGCCAAAGCUUUCUGAGUGACAUUGGACUUCCAGAGCACUGCAAGUGGCUUGUGCCCACCACCCCUGCCACACACCGCUACAGAAAACUCGUUCAGCCCGGCUUCCCAGCAUUUUCAGGAUCUCUACACAUAUGGCCGUGGCUUUUCCUAUUGCCUUUCCGGUUUUGCUGAAAGGGAGCGUGACUUCCUACAUGUCAGCUUUCCCCCACUGCUUCAGGUACAUCUUUUUGCUGACCCUUGAGUCUGCUGAAUGUAUCUGAGGAGGGUGCCUGCCUUGCUCUCCUCCAGCACACCCUCUCCUUUUGGGAGCCCCUGGCUCUCCCACACCCAGCCCGGCAUUCUGGAUGGAUAUGAAGGGCCCCUGCGUUACAACCAGCUCCUCAGCAGCUGAAAUUAUUCCAGAAGAGCCAACUGCAAUGCAAUGCCCGGGGAAAUGGCAAUUCCUGACAGAUACCAUCUCCUGCCUUCAGAUACAAUGUCAGCAGUGCACUUCGCUUAUCUUAGUGACUGAUAAGAGGAAGUGGCAAGAACACAAAAUUUGCAUACAGAAGAGGGAAGAAGAUGUUUGGGGGAUAAAAAUAAGGAGGAGUAACAUGAUCCUCAGUUCAGAUCUUCCACGAAGUAUUGAAAGAAACCAGAAGGAAAGCAGAGGCAAAGCUUCCAAUAAUACUGUAAGUUACUCAGUAAAAGUCUUCAGGAGCACAUGUCUUUGAAGUACCACGGGGAAGGCUCAAUCCUAUUACAGCCCUCCUGAGGAAGUGUUAAUCUUCUAGACAAAGAAACCAAGGCUCACUUUUUAUGAACUCCCAUGUACUUUUGAUUGCUUCUGGCUUGGUUUAUUUGUUUCUUUAAGGCUCAUCAAACCUGAUUUUUUUCCUGAACCACUAAACCUACAGUUCAACUCAAAGGCAAAUGGAAGCUGCUACGAAAAAUCAGGCCACUUUCUUUUGGGAAGGGUAAUUUAUGGGCCUGUAUUCUACUGUUAUUGAUGAAAUGCCAGCAUUGUGGAAAUCAAUAAAACAGCCUAUCGCCAAAAUGGCACUAGCACUAAGACUGUAUUCUUGAUUUAGAAAUUGCUGGCUAUGAUUUAAAAAAAAAAGCAGAAAAG